UGGUUAAGCAAUAAGAGCAUAGGGUGAAUGCCUAGGCACUGAGAGCCGAAGAAAGACGUGAUAAGCUGCGAAAAGCUGCGGGGAUUGGCAAAUACGAUUUGAUCCGCAGAUAUCUGAAUGGGGAAACCCACUAGAGAAAAGCUCUAGUAC
rnacentral:rRNA from 1 species